ACCGGGCACGGUGGCGCGUGCCUGUAAUCCCAGCUACUCGGGAGGCUGAGGCUGGAGGAUCGCUUGAGCCCAGGAGUUCUGGGCUGCAGUGCGCUAUGCCGAUCGGGUGUCCGCACUAAGUUCGGCAUCAAUAUGGUGACCUCCCGGGAGCGGGGGACCACCAGGUUGCCUAAGGAGGGGUGAACCGGCCCAGGUCAGAAAAGGAGCAGGUCAAAUGAGUCAGUUCUUCGCAUGAGGUGGCCAAAGUAUUGGAGUUCCAGUUUCAGCAUCAGUCCUUCCAAUGAAUAUUCAGGACUGAU
rnacentral:SRP_RNA from 1 species